ensembl:lncRNA novel transcript
CGAGCUUCCUGGCCGUAAGCGAUAAGGCUUUAACUGAGAACCACCUUGUGCUGUAGGCUUUGGCCCUUUUCCUCACAUCUGUGUAGUUAUUUUUGGGUCGCGGAGAAUUGUGGCCCGAGAAGGCUCUGCUCCUUGAGAGUGUGGGGAGAGAAGCUGCAGUCCCGGAAGCGGUUUUAGGGGGCCGCUUCCUUGGCCUAGAGGAGCUCCCCAACCCGAGGGGGCAAGGGAAACGACCCCCAGGAGGCCCCUAAACAGUGGCCGGCGUGGUUUCUCCUCCAGCUUUACAGAGCCUUCUCUUCCCCUCCAGAAACAGCCAACCUCCGGGUUUCUGCCUGCCACGCACGGUUUAUUCUUAUUUCCGCCUGUUUGUGCACUGCGUUAUCUCCACUUCAGCUCUGUUUUCAAAAUAUUUCACAGCAAGUGGGCUCUUGUGAAAGGCAGUGACAGGAGUGACGUUUAUAGUCAUGCUGCUUCAAAAAACCCUACCAUAACUUUUAUUCUGCACCAUGGAAACACACUCGGACAGAUUUGCAUAACGUAACCUUAAGGCUCAGGGAAUCCGAAAGAGUCCCUUAAUAUUUAACAGAAUGAGAUUAUGGUAUUUCUAAAACCCUGAACAAUUCAAAAGCCACCAGUGUGAAGAUAGGAAGGUUAUUUGGAGAUAUCUGUGCCUGCUAAACACAAAUGCAUCGGCCCACAGAAUUGCCUUCUCUGCUGUUAAAAUGCUUGGCAAAUGGAACUCCUAGCUGAGGGGGUAACAACAAAAAAUUCAGAAAUCGUUUAGCGGUGGCAGUAUGUGCGAAAAUGGAAUUUCAAGGCCUGGGAAGUUAAUAGAUUCAGUGGUCUUUAUUUCACACACGAGGGAAAGUUGGGGAGAGAAAGGGCCUCCAUGGGGAUGCCAGUAGAUAAAUAAAAAUUACAAAAAAAAAAAUAAUAAA